UUUUCUUUUUUUUUGCACGGUGCUGGGAAUCAGACUAGGGUACUCAUGCUUUGCAACUGAGCUGGCUCUCCUGCCCAUAAAGUGUUUCUUGUGUUGCUGUCUCCAUGACAACAGACACACAGUAAGUAAACAAGCUUCCAUAAAUGGGAAGUGACACUGCAGCAGCUUUAGAUCAGCCCAGACAUAACUUGUGGAUCUAAUAUGGAGAAUGAGCUCAUGAGAAAUAAAGGGGAAAUAAACCCUAAGCUGAUCUUGUGGCUGGCUGCCUGACAAUGUGGAUGACUGGCUAAGAGUUGGGAUACUCCUCCUUCAGUAACGGCAAACUAGGUUCCUGUUACUUCCUCUACUCCAGAAACUCAACCCAGUGCAAACUAAUGGCAUGGAGAUCCACUUAUCAACUCCCUGGGCUCAGAAGACUAAGGGCCAUUUACAUCUGUUAAAUGGAGGGCAUCAUUUCCAGAUCCAAAAAGUCAGGCCACACGAUGGAAAACAAAACUAGUUCCAAAGUA